rnacentral:lncRNA from 1 species
AUGAACUUCCUGAUGAAAGCUGGUUUUAGAAAAGGCAGAGGAACCAGAAAUCAAAUUGCUAACAUCAGCUGGAUCAUGGAAAAAGCAAGAGAGUUCCAGAAAAACAUCUAUUUCUGCUUUAUUGACUAUGCCAAAGCCUUUGACUGUGUGGAUCACAAUAAACUGUGGAAAAUUCUUCAACAGAUGGCAAUACCAGACCACCUGCCCUGCCUCUUGAGAAAUCUGUAUGCAGGUCAGGAAGCAACAGUUAGAACUGGACAUGGAAAGACAGACUGGUUCCAAAUAGGAAAAGGAGUACGUCAAGGCUGUAUAUUGUCACCCUGCUUAUUUAACUUCUAUGCAGAGUACAUCAUGAGAAACGCUGGACUGGAAGAAACACAAGAUGGAAUCAAGAUUGCCAGGAGAAAUAUCAAUAACCUCAGAUAUGCAGAUGACACCACCCUUAUGGCAGAAAGUGAAGAGGAACUCAAAAGCCUCUUGAUGAAAGUGAAAGAGGAGUGUGAAAAAGUUGGCCUAAAGCUCAACAUUCAGAAAAUGAAGAUCAUGGCAUCCGGUCCUAUCACUUCAUGGGAAAUAGAUGGGGAAACAGUGGAAACAGUGUCAGACUUUAUUUUGGGGGGCUCCAAAAUCACUGCCGAUGGUGAUUGCAGCCAUGAAAUUAAAAGACGCUUACUCCUUGGAAGAAAAGUUAUGACCACCCUAGAUGGUAUACUCAAAAGCAGAGACAUUACUUUGCCGACUAAGGUCCAUCUAGUCAAGGCUAUGGUUUUUCCUGUGGUCAUGUGGGGAUGUGAGAGUUGGACUGUGAAGAAGGCUGAGCGCCGAAGAAUUGAUGCUUUUGAACUGUGGUGUUGGAGAAGACUCUUGAGAGUCCCUUGGACUGCAAGGAGAUCCAACCAGUCUGUUCUGAAGGAGAUCAGCCUUGGGAUUUCUUUGGAAGGAAUGAUGCUAAAGCUGAAACUCCAGUACUUCGGCCACCUGAUGCGAAGAGUUGACUCAUUGGAAAAGACCCUGAUGCUGGGAGGGAUUGGUGGCAGGAGGAGAAGAGGACAGAGGAUGAGAUGGCUGGAUGGCAUCACCGACUCGAUAGACCAGAGUCUGAAUGAAAUCUGGGGGUUGGUGAUGGACAGGGAGGCCUGGCGUGCUGUGGUUCAUGGGGUCACAAAUAGUCAGACAGGACUGAGCAACUGA